rnacentral:rRNA from 1 species
GACGAACGCUGGCGGCGUGCUUAACACAUGCAAGUCGAACGGAAAGGCCCUGCUUUUGUGGGGUGCUCGAGUGGCGAACGGGUGAGUAACACGUGAGUAACCUGCCCUUGACUUUGGGAUAACUUCAGGAAACUGGGGCUAAUACCGGAUAGGAGCUCCUGCUGCAUGGUGGGGGUUGGAAAGUUUCGGCGGUUGGGGAUGGACUCGCGGCUUAUCAGCUUGUUGGUGGGGUAGUGGCUUACCAAGGCUUUGACGGGUAGCCGGCCUGAGAGGGUGACCGGCCACAUUGGGACUGAGAUGCGGCCCAGACUCCUACGGGAGGCAGCAGUGGGGAAUAUUGCACAAUGGGCGGAAGCCUGAUGCAGCAACGCCGCAUGCGGGAUGACGGCCUUCGGGUUGUAAACCGCUUUCGCCUGUGACGAAGCGUGAGUGACGGUAAUGGGUAAAGAAGCACCGGCUAACUACG